rnacentral:rRNA from 1 species
CCUACGGGAGGCAGCAGUAAGGAAUAUUGGACAAUGGAGGCAACUCUGAUCCAGCCAUCCCGCGUGCAGGAUGACGGCCCUAUGGGUUGUAAACUGCUUUUGCGAGGGAAGAAACGGUGCUAUUUAUAGCAUUUUGACGGUACCUCGA